CCUACGGGAGGCUGCAGUGGGGAAUAUUGCACAAUGGGGGAAACCCUGAUGCAGCGACGCCGCGUGAGCGAUGAAGUAUUUCGGUAUGUAAAGCUCUAUCAGCAGGGAAGAAAAUGACGGUACCUGACUAAGAAGCCCCGGCUAACUACGUGCCAGCAGCCGCGGUAAUACGUAGGGGGCAAGCGUUAUCCGGAUUUACUGGGUGUAAAGGGAGCGUAGACGGCGGUGCAAGCCAGAUGUGAAAGCCCGGGGCUCAACCCCGGGACUGCAUUUGGAACUGUGCUGCUAGAGUGUCGGAGAGGCAGGCGGAAGUCCUAGUGUAGCGGUGAAAUGCGGAGAGAUUAGGAGGAAGACCAGUGGGGAAGGCGGCCUGCUGGACGAUGACUGAGGUGGAGGCUCGAAAGCGGGGGGAGCAAACAGGAUUAGAUACCCUGGUAGUG
rnacentral:rRNA from 1 species